GAUGAAGAACGCAGCGAAAUGCGAUAAGAAAUGUGAAUUGCAGAAUUCAGUGAAUCAUCGAAUCUUUGAACGCACAUUGCGCCCCUUGGUAUUCCGAGGGGCAUGCCUGUUCGAGCGUCAUUAUAACCCCUCAAGCUCAGCUUGGUGUUGGGGCCUGCUGCACUGGCAGCCCUUAAAAUCAGUGGCGGCGCCAUCUGGCUCUAAGCGUAGUAAUUCUUCUCGCUAUGGAGUCCUGGUGGAUGCUUGCCAUCAACCCCCAAUUUUUCUAUGGUUGACCUCGGAUCAGGUAGGGAUACCCGCUGAACUUAAGCAUAUCAAUAAGCGGAGGA
rnacentral:misc_RNA from 1 species